rnacentral:rRNA from 1 species
UACGUAGGGUGCAAGCGUUGUCCGGAAUUAUUGGGCGUAAAGGAGCUCGUAGGCGGUUUGUCUACGUCUGCUGUGAAAACUGGAGGCUCAACCUCCAGCCUGCAGUGGGUACGGGCAGACUAGAGUGGCGGUAGGGGAGAUUGGAAUUCCUGGUGUAGCGGUGGAAUGCGCAGAUAUCAGGAGGAACACCGAUGGCGAAGGCAGAUCUCUGGGCCGUAACUGACGCUGAGGAGACGAAAGCAUGGGGAGCGAACAGG